CUUAUUACGGGAGUUUCACUAAUCUCCUUAAUGGCAGUUCACCGGUGUAUGAAGAAAGCUCUACUAUCAACUCAUCUAUACAUAUUGAGAACACAAAUGAAAAAGAUAGAAGUUUCGAGUAAAUAAAAAAGGCCGAAGAGGAUAUUUGUCUUGUUUCGGCAUGGCUGAAUACAAUAAAGAUGCCAUUCAUUGGGGAGAUCAAACAUCUUCCAGAUUUUGUGAAAUUAAAGAAACUCAGAGCUGCCUCGAUCGGAUUCAGGUAACUGACCCGAUUGGAAGACAAUAUGGGAUAAUUAAGCAUGAACAAGGUUGGUGUUGGUGCGGUCGGUGUUGACGAGGUGGGCUAUGAAACGGACUAUAGAACAUACUGUAGAAGGGACUGUAAAUGCUGUUGGUAGAUAUUGGCUGAAGGAUGCACUGAGUAAGUUUAUACUGGGAGAUAUUGACCGUAAACAACUUGAUUUCCAGUUUUUUGAUGGCAUGAUUACGCUCUCCAAUCUUCAUCUAAAUGUUGAUUGCAUAAACGAUAAGGUAAUAAAUAAGGCCUACUUUUUUGUUU